CUCGUAAACCCGAGAGGUGUUUGAACACUAAGAACUGCUAAUUCUUACUCCCUGAAGUUAAAUUCC
rnacentral:tRNA from 1 species